UACGGAGGGGGCUAGCGUUGUUCGGAAUUACUGGGCGUAAAGCGCGCGUAGGCGGCCCGGUAAGUCCGUUGUGAAAGUCAAAGGCUCAACCUUUGAAUGCCGAUGGAUACUGCCGGGCUCGAGUCCGGAAGAGGAGAGUGGAAUUCCUGGUGUAGCGGUGAAAUGCGCAGAUAUCAGGAAGAACACCCGUGGCGAAGGCGGCUCUCUGGGACGGUACUGACGCUGAGACGCGAAAGCGUGGGGAGCGAACAGG
rnacentral:rRNA from 1 species